GACGAACGCUGGCGGCGUGCCUAAUACAUGCAAGUAGAACGCUGAAGAGAGGAGCUUGCUCUCCUUGGAUGAGUGGCGGAAGGGUGAGUAACGCGUAGGUAACCUGCCUUGUAGCGGGGGAUAACUAGUGGAAACGAUAGCUAAUACCGCAUGACAAUGUGUGACACAUGGCAUGUAUUUGAAAGGGGCAAUUGCUCCACUACAAGAUGGACCUGCGUUGUAUUAGCUGGUAGGUGAGGUAACGGCUCACCUAGGCGACGAUACAUAGCCGACCUGAGAUGGGGGGCGGCCCCCCUAGGACUGGGCCGCGGCCCGGCCCCCUACCCUACGCAGCGGUGCGGUAUCUUCGGCUAUGGGGGCGACCCUGACCUGGACCCGCCGCGCCGCGGGCGGAGGGGUGCGGCUCGUAACUCUCUGUCGCUUGUGCAGAGCGGGAAUGAGGGUGGCGCGUACACCCGGUGACGGUACCAUACGAGUAAGCGACGGCUAACUCCGUG
rnacentral:rRNA from 1 species